UUGAAGAGUUUGAUCAUGGCUCAGAUUGAACGCUGGCGGCAGGCCUAACACAUGCAAGUCGAACGGUAACAUUUCUAGCUUGCUAGAAGAUGACGAGCGGCGGACGGGUGAGUAAUGCUUGGGAACAUGCCUUUAGGUGGGGGACAACCAUUGGAAACGAUGGCUAAUACCGCAUAAUGUCUACGGACCAAAGGGGGCUUCGGCUCUCGCCUUUAGAUUGGCCCAAGUGGGAUUAGGUAGUUGGUGAGGUAAUGGCUCACCAAGCCAAAGAUGAUUAGCUGGUCUGAGAGGAUGAUCAGCCACACCGGGACUGAGACACGGCCCGGACUCCUACGGGAGGCAGCAGUCGGGAAUAUUGCGCAAUGGGGGAAACCCUGACGCAGCAACGCCGCGUGAAGGAUGAAGGCUUUCGGGUUGUAAACUUCUUUUA
rnacentral:rRNA from 14 species